rnacentral:rRNA from 12 species
UGGCGACCAUAGCAAGAGUGAACCACCUGAUCCCUUCCCGAACUCAGAAGUGAAACCUCUUAGCGCUGAUGGUAGUGUGGGGUUUCCCAUGUGAGAGUAAGUCAUCGCCAGCUC